CUCUUAUCCUGAGCUGGCGGAGGGGACAGGCCCGAUGAAGCCCGGCAACCUGCUUGAUUGACUGUCAGUUAUCCUGAUUGUCAGUACUUAUAAAUAUAAGUGGUAUUCAAGACAAAGGUGCUAACCUGCAGCAAGGGCAAAACCUUGAACGAUAAGAG
rnacentral:ncRNA from 1 species